rnacentral:rRNA from 1 species
CAGUCGCCGCGGUAAUACGGAGGGUGCAAGCGUUAUCCGGAUUCACUGGGUUUAAAGGGUGCGUAGGCGGAUCUGUAAGUCAGUGGUGAAAUCUCCAGGCUUAACCUGGAAACUGCCGUUGAUACUAUAGGUCUUGAAUUUUGUGGAGGUUAGCGGAAUAUGUCAUGUAGCGGUGAAAUGCAUAGAUAUGACACAGAACACCAAUUGCGAAGGCAGCUGGCUACACAACUAUUGACGCUGAGGCACGAAAGCGUGGGGAUCAAACAGGAUUAGAUACCCGUGUAGUCCCUGUCUCUUAUAC